GGGGAUGCGAGUGCGGGCUUCGGGGCCACCUCCCACCCGUGUUGCCCGAACCUAUGUUGCCUCGGCGGGCCCCGCGCCCGCCGACGGCCCCCCUGAACGCUGUCUGAAGUUGCAGUCUGAGACCUAUAACGAAAUUAGUUAAAACUUUCAACAACGGAUCUCUUGGUUCCGGCAUCGAUGAAGAACGCAGCGAAAUGCGAUAACUAAUGUGAAUUGCAGAAUUCAGUGAAUCAUCGAGUCUUUGAACGCACAUUGCGCCCUCUGGUAUUCCGGAGGGCAUGCCUGUCCGAGCGUCAUUGCUGCCCUCAAGCCCGGCUUGUGUGUUGGGCCCCGUCCCCCCCGCCGGGGGGACGGGCCCGAAAGGCAGCGGCGGCACCGCGUCCGGUCCUCGAGCGUAUGGGGCUUCGUCACCCGCUCUAGUAGGCCCGGCCGGCGCCAGCCGACCCCCAACCUUUAAUUAUCUCAGGUUGACCUCGGAUCAGGUAGGGAUACCCGCUGAACUUAAGCAUAUCAAUAAGAGGAGGAAAU
rnacentral:rRNA from 1 species